rnacentral:rRNA from 1 species
AUUGAACGCUGGCGGCAUGCCUUACACAUGCAAGUCGAACGGUAACAGGUCUUCGGAUGCUGACGAGUGGCGAACGGGUGAGUAAUACAUCGGAACGUGCCCGAUCGUGGGGGAUAACGAAGCGAAAGCUUUGCUAAUACCGCAUAAGAUCUACGGAUGAAAGCAGGGGACCGCAAGGCCUUGCGCGAACGGAGCGGCCGAUGGCAGAUUAGGUAGUUGGUGGGAUAAAAGCUUACCAAGCCGACGAUCUGUAGCUGGUCUGAGAGGACGACCAGCCACACUGGGACUGAGACACGGCUCAGACUCCUACGGGAGGCAGCAGUGGGGAAUUUUGGACAAUGGGCGAAAGCCUGAUCCAGCCAUGCCGCGUGCAGGAUGAAGGCCUUCGGGUUGUAAACUGCUUUUGUACGGAACGAAAAGACUCUGGUUAAUACCUGGGGUCCAUGACGGUACCGUAAGAAUAAGCACCGGCUAACUACGUG